rnacentral:rRNA from 1 species
CAAAGGGGGGGGCCUUGGAAAUCUUUCUUGCGGGGGGAUUCAGUCAGGAAGGGCGGAGGUGUCUGCCGGUUGAUCAGAACGGACCCUUUUGAAAGGCCGGGCCGGUUGCACCGUCUCCGUUUUACCUGACGCACUUCCUCCCGCACUAUGGACGCCGCAGCCGGUUGGGUAGCUGCGCGAGUCGGCCAUGAGGGCAGGCGAUGGCAGGUGGCCGGUGGCUUAGCCUCGGCUUCGCCGCCGGUUGUUAGCCGGUUCUUGCCCGUGGCGCGACACCCGACCGAGGUUGAACGGUUCCCUUAAUGGGAACUGGCCUUCCCCUCCUCCCAMGAGUAGCGGGCAUUCCGGCAGGUGUGGCCAGGUGUUGCUUCGUCACUCCCCGUAGUGGCCGGCACUCCGAGCUCACCGCUGGUCGAAAGCUGGUCCGCGGAGGGUUCUACUGGGGCUGGCGGCGAGUAGGUCGGUCACCCACCCGACCCGUCUUGAAACACGGACCAAGGAGUCUAACAUGUGCGCGAGUCAAGGGGUCUUGAUCAGGCCCAGAGGCGCAAUGAAAGUGAAGGCCGUCCUCGACGUCGGCUGUGUUGGGACUCYUCGCCCGCUUCGGCGUGGCGGGGAAGCACCAACGACCCGUCCUAUCCGAUUUAUCGGUUGGGCGGAGUCUGAGCGUACACGUUGGGACCCGAAAGAUGGUGAACUAUGCCUGGGCAGGACGAAGCCAGAGGAAACUCUGGUGGAGGUCCGUAGCGGUUCUGACGUGCAAAUCGAUCGUCAGACCUGGGUAUAGG